GGCAGCAGAGGAAAACCUUGAGCAAAGGGACCUGCUGCCUGUUGUCUGGCCUGUCUGGGGAGUCAGGGACUGGUUUCCUGGAGAUGCUCCCUAAUCCACAUGCUAACUUGACUGCUGCCCAGUUCCUGGAGGGAAGCAAGCUGGUUCUUGCCUGUCACCGAAGAUACGCAGCACAGCAAAUGCCCCACCACAGCACAGCUCCAGACAAAGAAGUUCAACAAGAUGCUUCAAGGAAACUUCAGAGAACACAGAAAUUCUUCUUGAUUAAUGUCCUGCAAUAGUACAUCACAAAGUUGUAUUUGGAAGGCUGGAUGUCCUAAUGGUACUGAAAAUUGGAGCAAGUAUAAAUGUACCAAAGACAAGGUUGUUUUUGCUCAAAUCCCAGUGACAAUUAAUUUCUCAAACUUUUCAGACUAUGUGAAAUAACAGCCACAUACAAUGUGGUAAGCCACACCUGACCAAACAUUUCUUCAGUUUUCUAAAUCUGAUCUCCUACCUAAACUCCUGGAAGAAAUACCUCCUCUCAGAAACCAGACUUGCUGUCCACAAUAAUGACUGUGUGAUUACCUUUACCAAAAGAGGUGAAGGUGAUCAUCUGGGGAUCUUCUGAGUCUUUAUACUACUGCCUCAUGGCCCUCACCUCCAAAAAAAACAGCUGAGAUUUUUCUUGCUCAAUCUCUAGACAAACUCACCUGGUACAUCAGCUCCUCUCUCAUAUGUCAGUUAAAGGACAACCUUGUAAACCUCUUCUUCCUUUUAAAUCACGCAAAAAUUUGUUUUACUAUAGGUAACUCCAAGUUGCUGGAUUGCCUGACCCCCCUCAUGAUGGUGUAAGAAAUGGCUAAUAAAACACUCCUCUGCUCCCACAACCACCUGCAUCUUGUUCUUGGGAGACACUUCCUGCUGAGAACGUCUAGUCACUACUGGUAGGAGAGGUGGUCUCACAGCAGAACAUCAGGAAAACCCUGUCAAAUUCACUUGCAGCUAACACCUUACCAUCAAACUGCAUGCCCACUGCCUGUCCACCCUUUGCCCAAAUGCAAUAGGACUUCUUGAUUUCAAGGAACACCCAUAAAAAUAUCUUUCCUAUGACUGUAAUUCCUUUACAAGCCCAUCAGGGCUCUCAGUACAGGGGAACGUGGUUUCUGCUCAAACACAGGCUGUUCCUAAUCUUCUCCAGAGGUAUCACAUGGUAGCUAUGUCUAGCAUUGCAGGAUACCACAGGACUCCUUCCUUAUGUGACAGCUGAUCACAGUACAACUAACCCGCUGUGAGACAUAGCUAAGAAAAAGGCAAAUGACAAGUUAGGGUGUAUCAAGCCAGGUACUUCCAGUAAAGAUGAAGAGCAACAGCAGUGUUUCUCUGAGAUAUUGCCUGCAGUACUCAUCUCCCCCGGUUUCAGGAACAUGAAUUCAAAUUUAAACAGAUGCAAAAUGAGUGAGGGGAUGGUGGCAAUGACAGAGGAAGAAGAUUGUAUUUCUAGAAGACAAUAAAAGAACUAGAAAACUACCCCUUCAUUACCCUCUUCCCUGGGUAGUCAAGAAGCCAGAGGGCAAUAAAGAACAAAUGAAGUGCAUGUGGGACUCCAUUAACAUUUAAAACACUCAAAGACCAUCACUAGAAAUCAGGCUCCAGAUCAGAGGCAUGAGGUUUA